rnacentral:rRNA from 1 species
UACGGGGGGAGCACGCGUUGUUCGGAUUUACUGGGCGUAAAGGGCGCGUAGGCGGCCACCGCAAGUCGGUUGUGAAAUCUCUGGGCUUAACCCAGAAAGGUCAACUGAUACUGCGGGGCUAGAGUGCAGAAGGGGCAACUGGAAUUCUCGGUGUAGCGGUGAAAUGCGUAGAUAUCAAGAGGAACACCUGAGGUGAAGACGGGUUGCUGGGCCGACACUGACGCUGAUGCGCGAAAGCCAGGGGAGCAAACGGG